rnacentral:rRNA from 1 species
ACGGCGAGUGAAGCGGUAAAAGCUCAAAUUUGAAAUCUGGUACUUUCAGUGCCCGAGUUGUAAUUUGUAGAAUUUGUCUUUGAUUAGGUCCUUGUCUAUGUUCCUUGGAACAGGACGUCAUAGAGGGUGAGAAUCCCGUUUGGCGAGGAUACCUUUUCUAAGAGUCGAGUUGUUUGGGAAUGCAGCUCAAAGUGGGUGGUAAAUUCCAUCUAAAGCUAAAUAUUGGCGAGAGACCGAUAGCGAACAAGUACAGUGAUGGAAAGAUGAAAAGAACUUUGAAAAGAGAGUGAAAAAGUACGUGAAAUUGUUGAAAGGGAAGGGCAUUUGAUCAGACAUGGUGUUUUUUGCAUGCACUCGCCUCUCGUGGGCUUGGGCCUCUCAAAAAUUUCACUGGGCCAACAUCAAUUCUGGCAGCAGGAUAAAUCAUUAAGAAUGUAGCUACUUCGGUAGUGUUAUAGCUUUUUGGAAUACUGUUAGCCGGGAUUGAGGACUGCGCUUCGGCAAGGAUGUUGGCAUAAUGGUUAAAUGCCGCCCGUCU